UUUUGAUGAUGACCUGCCAUGCUAAUACUGAGGAAUCCAGUCGUUGUUGUCUGGCAACCAGUGAGUUCAAAUUUAGCUUAUCUGAAACCUUUAUAAC